GGCCAUUCCGGGUAAGCAGGACUGGCUAUGCGGGAUGCUGCCACUGCCGAG
rnacentral:rRNA from 15 species